AGAUUGCAACACAAUACCACAGUGAGGAAAGCCAGAUGUUGCCCACAUCCCCCUCGGAGAAACCCGCCAGGGGCAUGUUGGGACGUUGGGAGUGUGAGCCCUGGAGACAGUGUUGUGGCAGGGAUCCAGGUUCUCCCAGCUGCCGGCCACAGGGCUCUGCCCAGGGGUCCUGAGUUUCCUCAAUGGCAUUCUAAUCCAUGAGUGUUCAGAGAGAGCAGGUGGGCUCCCCUACCCGGCGCCUUCCGACCGGCAUCUGGAAAAGGAUAGUCAGAAACGCAGUGAAAAUUACGCCUGCAACCCUGGCAGGCAGGGAAGCACUUAAUAACUUACGUGGGUGUCAGGGCAAGGGAGGCGUCCGCAGACCAGAGUUGUGAUGGACCGUUCUCCACCAUGUGAUGUUCAUUUUCUCCACUGAGAUUAAAAAAGAAGAGGAAAGGAAAGAAGGAAAGUGCACAACCUCCUUGAAAAGACAGCUCCUCCUGCCGAAAAUGUGUUGCAGACUCGGUCAGUCAGGUGGACUUAAUUGGAAGGCACUUUCUUUUUGAUGGAAAAAGAAGGAGAAAGAUUUGUAAAAUUGAACCAAUGUUAACACACUCGCAUCCCACAAGGAGCUGAGUUUUGAUCUGCUUCAUGCUGAGAGAGCGGGAAGGAGACCAGAGUGUGUCUCAGACUUUCUAAGCUCAGCUACCUGCAGAAAGAACGUGGAAGCUCUGAAAAAGUCACAACCAGAGUUUACGUCCAGCCUCACUCUUCAUGACCUGGCAUUUACUUGUAACGGUGGACUUUACACACCACCCACAGACCCUGUGAAGCUGGGAGAAGCCACUGACAUUUUGUCCUUCCUCACAUUUCAGUGUGAUGAGCACACACAGAAUACCUGCCCACUGCGAGGUACGACAGGAAAUGCCGGUGACUCAAAGACCAGGGGCUUGGUCUCUUCUGGGCACCUCUUCCCAUUCAUGUUUCUCCUCUUCACUCCUGAUUCCUUUGCAUUCUCCCUUGCAAUUGCUUUCCAGUUAUUUCUUGAUGCAACUUUUUUUCUCAAGCUAAUUUUCAUGGGACACUAUGGACAUCUUUCGGCCUCACUGGAAUUACUCAAGGUAAAGAGCAUUUCAUAGACCAGCGGCUUUGCUGGACAGGAAGGGCUAAACGUAGAAUCAACGACAGUCAACGAUUAAAACCAACUUUCAGCUGA
rnacentral:lncRNA from 1 species